UGAUGACGUCACUGAAAAAUCUGACAUUGUCUGAGGUAGAUCCAGCUGGUUUCCUUGAACGUUACCUAACUCAGGAUGAGUGCUGGGUUCAUUACUUUGAGCCAGAGACAAAGAGAUAAUCCAUGCAAUGGAAACAACACUGUUCCAAAAGAAUGCCAAAUUCGUUUCAUCUGCAAGGAAGAUGACGGCUUAAAAUGUUGGGGAUGCAGAAGGCAUUGUGUUUAUUGACUAUCUUCAAAAGGGCCACACCAUCAAU